GCAGAGCUUUAUCAGUCUGUACACAACACUACAGUUUUAAUAUUGCAUUAUGAAGUCUCAGAAAUCAGAGGAGUCGGCUUCCUCAGCUGCUGUCAGGCAGGCACUGCUGCCUGAACACUGCGUGUGCAUGUGCAGCAUCCUCACAGGGUCAUCCUCUCUCUAAAACUCCAUUGAACCAUUCCCCAACCAUUGCAAGCUGCCCACAGGCUUUCACCAUAACCCCUGAGACACAGCCAGCACAGGGCAGCUGGGGAUGACCUGAAAUUCAUGCUGAAGGCAGAGACACUUCUACAUUCAAAGCCUCCAAUUUCCACUACCAAGCUGGUCAGACCAUGAAGAAGUGGGAAAUGGCCUUUUAUCUUUCAAAGUAGUCACCAAAAAUCCUGAAGUAUCUCUGGUGGCUGAAUGCCUGCAGGCUCUGGAAGCAAACCCUGGAGUAAGGAAAUUCUUGCUGCAGUCAUCUGCCCAAACUGUGCCAGAAGGAGCCAGUGCUCAAGGACAGCUGCUGGAGUGCAGCUGGCAUCCCAGGAUGGGAGCUCCUGGUGAGGAACAGGAGCAGGUCCGAUACUGGAGAUACAGUGGGCUGUGACAAAAUGGAACAGCUGUCUGUGGACUUCACUGUGUCAGACACCACCAUUUUACAGUGAUCCCUGUCCAAUGGAGAACCUUUGGGAGGAGUUUCUCUGCUACAGGCCAAUGUUUGUCACCUUUCAUUUGCAAAUAUCAAGGUAAGGAACAAAGCAAAUGCAUGAAUAUUUGUGUUCAAGCCUGUUUUCUCCUUUGAUAAUUUGAUUAUGAUUAUGUGUUUGCUGUACAGCUCUGGGAUUCCCUGCUGGACUCUGCCCCAAGCACUGGCCAGGGGCCCACUGGCUCCAAACCAGUUCUCUGCAUAGAAGGGUUUGCUCCUGGCUCCUUCACACGGAGAACUCAGUUUAGAUUGCCUGAAUCCACCAAUAAAACUUGGAUUCACCGGACA
rnacentral:lncRNA from 1 species